rnacentral:rRNA from 1 species
CGAUGACGGCCUUCGGGUUGUAAAGUUCUGUUAUACGGGACGAAUGGUACGACGGUCAAUACCCGUCUUAAGUGACGGUACCGUAAGAGAAAGCCACGGCUAACUACGUGCCAGCAGCCGCGGUAAUUUU